rnacentral:rRNA from 1 species
UACGGGGGGAGCAAGCGUUGUUCGGAUUUACUGGGCGUAAAGGGCGCGUAGGCGGCCACCGCAAGUCAGUUGUGAAAUCUCUGGGCUUAACCCAGAAAGGUCAACUGAUACUGCGGGGCUAGAGUGCAGAAGGGGCAACUGGAAUUCCCGGUGUAGUGGUGAAAUGCGUAGAGAUCGGGAGGAACACCCGUGGCGAAGGCGGCCUGCUGGGCUGACCCUGACACUGAGGCGCGAAGGCGUGGGGAGCGAACGGG